rnacentral:rRNA from 1 species
UAAUACAGAGGGUGCGAGCGUUAAUCGGAAUUACUGGGCGUAAAGGGUGCGUAGGUGGCUACGUAAGUUAGGUGUGAAAUUCCCGGGCUUAACCUGGGGACUGCGCCUGAUACUGCGAGGCUAGAGUACUGUAGAGGAAGGUGGAAUUUCCAGUGUAGCGGUGAAAUGCGUAGAUAUUGGAAGGAACAUCGGUGGCGAAGGCGACCUUCUGGACAGAUACUGACACUGAGGCACGAAAGCAUGGGGAGCAAACAGG